GGGACCGGGGUGUACAUAGACAGUGCCCUGAGACGGGAUAGUUACUGGAAACGGUGGGUAAUACCGGAUGUGGCUCUGGGAGGACCUCCGUCCUAGAAUUAAAUGGUUUUUCGCUUCAGGAGCGGCUUAUGGCCUAUCAGCUUGUUGGCGAGGUAACGGCUCACCAAGGCGACAACGGGAUAGGGGGUCUGAGAAGGAUGAUCCCCCCGAAGUGGGACUGAGACACGGAACAAACAACUACGGGUGGCAGCAGAUGGAGAAUCUUGCACAAUGGGGGAAACCCUGAUGCAGCGACGCCGAGUGGAGGAUGAAGGAUCUAAGUCUGUCGACUCCUUAUGUCAGGAAAGACUAAGGACGGUACCUGACGAAUAAGCACCGGAUAACUACGUGCCAGCAGCCGCGGUAAGACGUAGGGUGCAAGCGUUGUCCGGAUUUACUGGGCGUAAAGCGCGCGUAGGCGGUCUGUUAAGUGAGUGGUGAAAUCUCCAGAGCUCAACUCGGAAAUUGCUUCUCAUACUGGCAGACUAGAGGAAUGCAGAGGUAAGUGGAAUUCCUGGUGUAGCGGUGACAUGCAUUGAUAUCAGGAGGAACACCCAUGGCGAAGGCAGCUUACUGGGCAUUAUCUGACGCUGAGGCGCGAAAGCGUGGGGAGCAAACAGAAUUAGAUACUCUGGUAGUCCACGCCCUAAACGAUGGAUACUAGGCGUAAGAGGUAUCGACCCCUCUUGUGCCGCAGCUAACGCACUAAGUAUCCCGCCUGGGGACUACGGCCGCAAGGUUGAAACUCAAAUGAAUUGACGGGACCCCGCACAAGCGGUGGAGCAUGUGGAUUAAUUCGAUACUAACCGAAGAACCUUACCCAGGU
rnacentral:rRNA from 1 species